AAUAUUUCACUCAAAUUCAAUUUCAACCAUAAUUCAUUUCUCUCUCUACCAUCUAUAUUUUCUCCCUUCUCUCUACCACAAAACACCACUGUCGCCAUCGGCAGUGGUGAUUCACGAUGGUGGUGAAGCUCUAAAGCAACCUUACCGAUGACUAUUCUGUUUAUUUUCUCUCUAUGGUGUAAGGCAGAGAUAGCGUCGUGAUAAUAUGGUGUGGUGUGCUACGCGUUUGGCCUUCCUCUGCCAUCUUUUCCUUAAUCUUUCUCUCAUAGUCUCACUUUCUUUGCGUGUUUUUUGAGUAUGGAUUAAAGGGUUUUUGUCUCCAAGAUUUUCUCAAAACUGCUGAAACAAAAGGAAGGCAAAGAGGCACAAAUAUUGCUUGCGUGUACUUACUUUCAUUUUCCUGCAAAACCAAAGAAAACACAAUGAAAUCAGGCAUGGAAUAAAUUUCUGCUGGAGAUCUAUGAAUGAUCAAUUCAGUGUCUUGGUGGGCGAUUUCGACGAGAGAAUCUGGACAGAUAAUUUUGAUUACAAUAGGAAAUAAGAUCUCGGUAGUUGAGUAGAACAUGUUUUGAUUACUGGACAGAUAACUUUGAUUACUGGCAGAGGCAGCAGUAGUUGAGUAGAACAUGUUUCAAAUGAUAAGAUCUCGGUCUCCCUGUUCGAGUUGAUGAUGAUGGUUUAGCAAAAUCUAAAUUCGUUGUUUCUGAUGAAUUUAUUAACCAAUGAUUUGUUUUACUGUAACUUCUUUUGAAAACAGAAAGGUUGAUUUAAAGGUAACUAAAGGGUCCGCCUCUUUAUCUUUUUC